rnacentral:rRNA from 1 species
UACAGAGGUCCCAAGCGUUGUUCGGAUUCACUGGGCGUAAAGGGUGCGUAGGUGGUGGGGUAAGUCGGAUGUGAAAUCUCCGAGCUCAACUCGGAAACUGCAUUGGAAACUACCCUGCUAGAGGGUCGGAGGGGGGACUGGAAUACUUGGUGUAGCAGUGAAAUGCGUAGAUAUCAAGUGGAACACCAGUGGCGAAGGCGAGUCCCUGGACAACACCUGACACUGAGGCACGAAAGCUAGGGGAGCAAACAGG